UCAGCCUGCAGAACAACAGCAACAGCAACCCUUCUUCCCUUGGCUUUCUCCCUGCCUGCCUGCUCCCAAGAGCAGCCUUUCCUGCCUUCCUUAACUUUACAUCUUCUGCAGAGGACAGGGAGCACCAACUGCACAUCAUUCAGAGGAUUAAUGAACAACUUUUCCUUGAUAAUUCACCCCACCAAGUCACCCUACCAAGUCACCAACCCACUCACAAUCUCUGAACAGAAGGCACUUAUGGGUGCUGCUGAGGUUUCACCAAUCCCUUUUUUCUUAUAAUGCCCCAAACUGUUCCCUUUUCAACACAGCAGGCAAAGAACAACAGAGAUGGCCAUUACAGUCCUGGGAGCCCCCUUCAGCUGUGACACUGCUGCACACAGGUCAGGCAGCCUGGACUCUGCUGGAGACAGAGCACUGGCCAGGAGCCACUCUCCAGAAAUCAGCAGGACUGAACAUCCUCACCACAAGCAAGAACAGCAGCAGCACAAGGCACUCAAGAGACAGUGAUGUCUCAGCAACACCUGGAGCCCUCUUAAAACACCAACAGCCAGAGAUUUCCUCUCCCUGGAAGUGCCCAAGGCCAGGCUUGACAGGGCUUGGAGCAACCUGGUCUAGUGCAAGGUGUCUGUGCCCUGGCAGGGUGUGGAAUGAGAUGAGCUGUAAGGUUCCUCCUAACCUGAACUAUUUGAGGAUUCUGUGGUUUAAGAAGAGUCUCUUGUCCUCACCCCUUCCCUUGUGGAUCUUUUGGAACUCUAGAUACCUCACCCCCAGACCACCUUCCCCUUUCCCAGCACCCCCUGUGUUCACCUGCUGUGACACCAACCCAGGGUGGAAUCCCACACUUUGCCUCUGAAAUAUUGCCCCACCCCAAGAACAGCCCCCAGACCCUUUGAAACAAGCAGCAAUCCCAAACUGCCUUUCCAGUCACCUGCUGCUGGUUACCCCUGACCAGAUCCCAGAGAGGAAAGGGAACAGGGUCUGAACUCCCCAUGGAAGCCCACCCAGGAGCUGUGGGCUGUGAACUGCAGUGGAGGGUCACUGUGACCAUACUGUGAGGAUGGGACAUCCCAAACACAGCCAACCUGACUGCCACAGGAAGGAGCAGGUGGGAAGAGAUGUGACUGGCAUUCCCACCAAAGGAAGGGUUAACACACCCACCCUUUAACAGACAAAGUGAAGAUGCUGGACACUCAUCUUUCCUCCUCCAGUGGCUCACCCCAGGUUUCUGGGGCUGUCCCUGCUCAUGUAGGCAGGGAGGGCUCCAACUCUCCCCCACUGCUGCCUCUCCCAGUUUUGCCCUGUGACAGAUAAAUGCCAGCCUGUCUGGAGCUGGGCUUGGCUCACUGUGGCUCCAUGCUGGGGCAGGCUGUGUUUCAGGAUGUGCUCCAGCUGUGAUUCCCUCCCCAGGCCCCUUGGGAGAGCAAGGCUGAGCACACGAAGCCCUGGGAACCAUAUGCAGAAACAAGAGAAAAGGAAAAAUAAAGGGAGAGCUUUCCUCUUCACUCCAGCAGGAUUUUGGUUUUUUCAAACCAAAUUUUGCAAGAUGCCUUUGCUGGUUUUCCUCUCCCCUUUUCUCAGUUAGUGCUGGUAGUGGUGGAAACUUCCUGCUGGAGAGGCAGGGCCGGGGCUGGUGCACGUGGGCAGGGACCCACUCCAGCCUGGGAAGCAGGGCUGAGGUACCCCAGUGGAAAAGCUGGCUGACUCUGGACUCAGCCUUGAAUUAAAGCACAAUCAAUACCUUUGCAAUGAAGUUUAUAUCUCCAUUUUCAAACAAAGCAAACAAACCCAGGUGAAACAAGGAAACACACCACGUCACACCCCCUUUCUUAUCUCUCUAUUUACUUCCCAACAAUUUGGAAAGUUCAGGACCUUUUCCUGCUAUUUUUUAUCCAAUUACUCAGUCUGAACUGUGGAACUCCUUGCCAGAAUAUGGUGUGGGUGAGGGAUUUCUGUAGAAUAAAAAAAAUCACUGAGCGCUUUAAAGACAAAUAUAUUCCUCAAAAACCCAGAAGGGGAUUGCCAGAGGAAAUAAAAGUAUUUUGGGGAAGUAACACUCACCUUUUUACCCUAUCCUUACACAAUUCCCUAGACAUCUGCAGAUGAGCCUGUGCUCUGACCCAGUGCAGCUGUUAUGUGGAUCAGAAGUAACACAAAAAGGGAACAUUGAAAAUGUAACAUGAAACUCUAAAUUUUAGGCUCAGCACCAGUACCUGUUACAUGCACACUUCAGCACACACUCCCUACAAGGCAAAGGAUGUUGCCCCCUUCAAAAGAUAACUUAGACACAAUGGAGAUCUGUGGAAAAAAAAGCAAAUUCCUCUUGGAUUAGCAU